UCCCUCUUAGCUCAGUUGGUAGAGCGCGUCACUAGUAUCUUCAAUCGGCACGCGCCGGUCAUGACGAGGUCAGUCGUUCAAAUCGGCUAGCGGGAA